GUAAGCGCGAGGUGGCAGCCAUCUUGCGUACGGCGGUGCAGUUUCCUAGAUGCUGAGGGUUUGGGUGUUAGUUUCUCUGUGCUUUGGGGUGUGUUUUUGCGCUUUGCUUUCACAUUUUCAGAUGUUCGUAUCUUUCUAGACCACGAUUUUAUUGGGAGGUAAAAGUCAAUGUAGUGUAAGAUGCCUUAUGGUGAAAUUGAAGCGAAAUCCUUGGAUCAUGGUGAAGAACUAACAGGUGAACCAUGCUAUAAAAAACUGAAGUCAACUGAAGAGGCUUAUGUUUUCUCCCAUCAUGGUAGUGCUAAUUUUCACAGAAUCCAAGAGAAAACUGGGAAUGAUUGGGUCCCUGUGACCAUUGUUGAUGUCAGAGGGCAUAGUUAUCCUCAGGAGGACACCACCAAAACUACAGACUUGGUGAAACCUGUGCAUGAUGAGAUUCCUGGUAAUAGUAGAUCACAUGUUAUUGAAUCCAUUGAUCCACAAGUUUUACAGGAUGCAAGUCCUGCAUUGGUAUCCAAAGAUGAUGAGAUAUAUAGCACAAGUAAAGCAUUUAUAGGACCCAUUUACAAACCUCCUGAGAAGAAGAAAUGUAAUGAAAGGGGAAAUCACUCAGAUGCAAUCAGUGGUACAGAUGGCAAAGGAGGACAAGAACAGAAACAGAAAUUCAACUCCAAAAAAUCAGAGCUUGACAGCGAAUUAUUCCAGUUUUACAAGGAAAUUGAAGAGCUUGAAAAUGAAAAAGAUGAUUUGGAAGGCAGUUGUAAAGAACCCAAACCCUCUGAGGAAAAACUUAUUACGCAUUAUCAGGACCAUUAUAAUGAGCUGUUAAAAUCUGAAGAAGGAAAGGAAAGAGAUACUAGUAAUGUUCUUCAGUCACAUUGUGGUUUUCAGCAACAGGUGGAGAAUGAACCAGGCAAAUAUCCUUGUAAUGGACAAGUAAUACCUGCAUUUUGUGAAGAUUCGUUAAUUUCCUUCAGGCCUGAAUGGCAGUCAGUGCAUUAUUUUAUAGUACCCCAAGGUCCUCCUCCUCCCAGUUUUAACUGUCAUUUAAAUAUGCAAAGAUUUAGUGCUCCACUAAAUCCACCAUCAAAUAUUUUCCAUGCUCCAGAUGGGUCUCAGCAUCAAAAUGGGUAUUAUGUAAAUAGUUGUCACAUUAACUGGCAUUGUUUGACUUUUGAUCAGAACAAUGACUAUAUUGACUGUAGUGAGAAUACCAAUAGAGAUCAUUCCUCUACAAAUGGUUACAGUGUGCAAGAUGCAUAUGUGAGUAAUGGUUUCUGUGAAACCAGGGAAGGAUGCUGGAAAGAUCCUUCUAUGGACAAGCAUAAUGGAACAGACAGGCUUAUGAACCAGCAGUUUCAAGAUGAAAAGUUAAAUAAAUUGCAGAAGUUACUUAUUCUUUUAAGAGGUUUGCCUGGUUCUGGGAAAACAACGUUGUCUCGAAUUCUGCUUGGUCAGAGUCGUGAUGGCAUUGUAUUCAGCACUGAUGACUAUUUUCACCAUCAAGAUGGGUACAGCAAAACAAGCUAUCAAUCAGGGGAGAUCUCCAGUUAUAAUAGACAACACUAAUACACAAGCUUGGGAAAUGAAACCAUAUGUGGAAAUGGCCAUAGGAAAAGGAUACAGAGUAGAGUUUCAUGAACCUGAAACUUGGUGGAAAUUUGAUCCUGAAGAAUUAGAAAAGAGGAAUAAACAUGGUGUAUCUCGAAAGAAGAUUGCUCAGAUGUUGGAUCGUUACGAAUAUGAAAUGUCCAUCUCUAUUGUAAUGAAUUCAGUGGAACCGUCACACAAAAGCACACAAAGACCUCCUCCUUCACAGGGGAGACAGAGGUGGGGAGGCUCUCUAGGCUCACAUAAUCAAGUCUCUGUUACAAAUAAUCAUUAAACUGGCUGUUUUCAGCUAACACAUUUGUUGCUUGCCCUUGAAAAAAAUUAGUGAGCCUAUCUUGAAGUUUAAAUAGUUUCAAAUUUAAAAAAAAGACUAUGUUGCCUCACAAAGGAUGUUCCCAGCAAGUUGUCUAAAUCCUAAAGUGUAAAUAAAAAUUAUAUAAAAUUGUUUUUUAAAUGUUUUUAUAAUUUUUGUUGUUAAUCCCUUGGGUUAUUAUGAAAACACCUUAGUAGAGUUGGGUAGGACUAGAAUAGUUUUUCUACAACUGAAUUUUAAACUAAUUGUAUCUGUUUUGUAGAUAAUAUUGGGUAGUUUUAUAGCUCAUACCUAAAUCUAACUUUUCAUAAAAUACUAGUAUUUUUUCUUAACUACCUUAAAUAUAUAAGAAAUACUUGAUAUAGGCACCUCUGUUGAUUUUUCUAUUCAUUAUACAGGUAAAAUUAUGUUUCUGCAAAUUCAUCUAUAUGACAAAAAUAUUUCUAAGCUAUAAUUAGCAUAUCACUUAAAUUCUCCAUCAAAUGCUAUAUAGCAGUAGGUGUAUCAACCACCUGGGUGGUUUUCUCCAUAAUAUACAUUUUCAUAAUAUAUAGUAUAUCCAUAUUCAUCACCCUUCUCAAACCAUCCCCCUAUCCCUCCACACUCUCCGGUUCUGGAAUGGAUAAAUAGGGAAAUCACUGUAUACUUAGAAAAAGCUUUUCAGGUUAUUCUGAUAAUAUAUCACUUCACUUUAUUUAACAUUGUAUAAUUCUAAUAUAAAAAAAUAUUUUGGACAGGUCCUUAGCAUUAAUUGUAAGAUUUUUCUUGCAGGAUAUUUUAUUUCUCCUGGUUUCAGUUUUUUUGUAGACCAACUAUAUGUCUCAUUGGAUAGUUUUCUUUAUUAGAUUGUGUUUUGUCACUUAAAAUUUAGAAACUGAGAUGGAAUUCAUUUCUGAGAUUUUGUAAUUCAUCCUCAUCUUUGAUUUGCUCUUUUUAAGGAAGAAACCCUAGCUAGUUAUUUGCUAUUAAAAAAAAAUGUUAUGAUCCUUCAGAUGUUUUACAUGGUAAUAUUUCAUGGCCCAUUUACUUCCUCCUAACCCAGCCCAUCCUAAAUCUAGUAAUUUUUCUUCAUAUGUUGUUUAAAUCUUUUGCUGUUCUUUUCAACCUUACUUUAAAUGUUCUCCCACAUCUAUAUAUUACUUUUCAAGUAAUACUAAGUGCAAGUCUCAAAACUAAAUACAGUACUCUGAACAAGGUCUAUCACAUUGCUUUUAGUGAGAUAAGAAUAUGAUUUCUAUUUAUUUGUACUAUUCACUGCUGUUUACAUUUGAAUGGGUAUUACUUUGCUUUAUUUUGUUUAACAUGUGUGUUUGUAUGUAUUCAUCUUAACUAAAUAUGAUACAGUAAAUAUGCUAACUCAUGUUUUGUGUGUAAAUGUAUAUAUAUUUAUACAUAUACACAUUUUCUUCAUCCACUAUUUUCAUGUAUUCUUUUGUUUCAGAGUAAUACUUCUUGGUAUUUAGGCUUGUGUUUUUCUAGUAUUUUAUUAUGUACAUUAGCACAUUUUGAAAAUAGUACAGAAGGAUUUAAUUUGGGGACAGAUGAGACAACUGUCAGAUGUAUACUGUGUGUUCCUUUCCCUCUGUCUUUAUAAAACUGUUAGGAGUAAUAGUGUUAUGAAUCUAUAGUUUUUGAUUAAUAGAUGCUUAAUUAGCCAAAUUUAUUUUAAGGAAGUAGAGAAUUGCCUUUGAAAGAUACAUAUUAUAAAGAAAUAUGUUCAUGUUAGUAAGUCUGAAGUAAAUUUCCAGAUUUUAUUAUGGACCAACUUCAUCUUUUAGUACUUCUGAGUACUUAAAUAAUCAUGCAGAGAUCAUUAAUCAUUGCUGAUUUUUUUUUGGUAUAAAUCCAUACUAGGCAGGGAAAUUAACAUUCUGAAAAGGUUUGAAGGUUGUUUUUUUUUAAAGACAGAAAAUUAAUAGUUCCUCUAAGCAUAUUAAAUUAAUAUGGUUCCCCAUUAGCAUUCUGGUUAAUUUUUUUAUUUUUUGAACAAUAACAAGCAUGAAUAUGCAAUGAAAGAUACCAGAAUCACUGUUACAAGUCAUUGCUUUGGUUUUAAGUCUAUAAAAAUCUUUAAAAAUCAAAAAAUUUACUGAUUAAAGAUAUUUCUCAAAAUUUUUCUUGUAUUCAGAUCUUGUUUUUUUAUGCCCCCAGUUAUAUUCUUAAUGGAAUAGCCCCCAGUUCCUAUGCCCCAUUUUAAGUUGAUCUCCAUCCCAAACAAUAAACGUGGGGCAUUAGUCAUCAUAUUUAACUAAGAUAAAAUACAUUUAGUUAAGUAGAAUGCAGCUUAACCUAAGUUGUUUUUUCAUAGGCUUGGUAUAAAAACCACUUCCUUUUUGAUAAGCAAAUUUAUAGUUUUCUGUAUGUCAUAAUCCUGCUAGCAAAAAUACUUAAUGUGGUAAUUAAGUUGAACUAAUGGUACUGCUUUUUAAAUAGAUAAUCUUUAUUUUCAGUAUUCACCUUUUCAAAAGAAAAUUAACUUUUUAAUAUUUUAUGUCUGUUUUAAAGUAAGAUUGUUUAUAAAAGAUUGGGUUGUAUUUUGUUGGAGCAGUAGGGUGGAUUUAAGUAUUUGAAGUUUGGUUAUUUCUUGUCUAAUAUAGACUCUCGAAUUUUCUAGUCUUAUGUAUAGAUAAGUUUUGAAAGAGUUCAUGAUUUCAAAGGAUAUGAAAUCUUUAUUUUGACCACAUUCGAGUUUUUGUUAUUGCAGAAAUAUCUGAUUUUCUGAGCCUGGUUUUAUAAGUAUUUAUAAAGAAAAUUGGUGGUGUUCUCUUUGGAAAAUAUUGAAGAAAUGUGGUUGUUUAUAUAUUAGUGCCUUGAUCGUAUAGGUUUGCUAGUCUUUAUUGAAAUUUUAUGUAGUAUUCUAACAUGAAUGCAGUAACUGAGAAUUUGUUCUUAGGGCCUAAGAUUUGUGUGUGUGUGUGUGUGUGAUUGUUUUAACAUUUGCAACUCAUUAAAUAGAGUAAACACCUUAGUCUAGAAUCAUAACAAAGCAUGGUUUAGUUUUGUUAUAAUGACCAUUCAGAAUAAAUAUUUGGUGGUAGCAGAAAAAGAAGAUUGAGUUAAUGGUUUCAGAGUUAAGUUUUAUAGGUUACAAUUUAUAAAUAAAAUUUUUUUCUAUUAAAAUUGUUAGAUGUAAUUCUUGUGAAUUUACAGAGGAAGGAGAGAUUGUGUUAAAGUAAUGAAUAUCUCCCUUUUGAUGGUUUUCUUUCUCUUUAUUAAGAUUGGCAUACCAAUUUUUAUUUUAUUUUUAAGAUUAAGGUCUUAUUAAAAUAAUUGGUCUCCUUUUAUGUCCUUAAAAUGUCCUUAGGAUGGUAAAAGGUACUGUUUAGUUUGUUCAAUGACAUAAGUUCUGAAAGAGGAGUAGUGAUUUUCUUUUGCAUCUUUCUGAUUCCUUUUUUCAUAUUUAAAACAACAUGUAAAUUAACUCAGUUGAUUCAAAUUGCUAAGUGUCUUAAGUCUAAAAAAUGUUCACUUUUUGCAUGGUUUGUAAAUUGCAAACCUUGAAAAUUUAUAAUGUUUGCAGUUAGGUUCAGAAAACUUGUAAUAGAUUGGUUAUCAUUUACAUUCAAUAUCUUUAUUUACAUUUGCAUUACACUAGAAGGCAUAAGUUUUAUAAUAGAAUAUACAAUUGUGAGCUUAAUUUUUAAUAUAUCUUCUGUGGAAAUUCUUAACACAUUGUCACUGUCAAAUUGUGCACAGAAACAAGGGGAAACACUAGCACAAAUAACUUUUUGAAGAGAGAGCCUCAAGCUAAGGCUGUGUCUGUUGGAAAAUUUUUACUUUGGGUGCAUUUAAUAAAAGUUUAUUUUAGUAAUUUAGAUUAGAAAUAAUCUUUCUCCUUUUUCCUAACAAAUUUUGUUCUCUGAAUGAUAGCCAUGUUGCGUUCCAGGUGUGAUAAUUGUGGUAAUCAUGUAUUAUAAUACACUUCCCAGUAUAGGACCCAUUAACUUCAGGAAGCUGUCUUAAAUUUAAGUAUGAAUAAAAUAGAUUCUUUUAUUUAGCAUGGACACAGUUACAGUUUGUCUCCUAAUCUUAGAACAAGACAAAAUCACAUUAACAAGCAUUAUCCCUACUUUGGUGAGUAACUGAAGACUUCAUCUGGGAGUGUCUUCCAGUUGUAAAAAAUGUAUUUUUAAUUGAAUUUUUUGUAAAUUAUUGGGAAGACGGAGAGAUUUUUAAGGUGACCUAGGGUUUUUUUGCCUUUAAACUUAUUAGUAACUAAGGGAAAAAAAGAGUAAUGUGUUCAUUCAUGGUUCAAAUUGUGUUCAAAUUCAGUAGAGUCCAUUGAAAUACACUUUAUUUUGAUUAUUUUCUUGUUUUGCAGUUUUAACUGCAUUCUCGGGUAGGACAUAUAAAAUCAAGGUUUUACCCUUGAGGUUAGUUCAUCUACAACUGUUAAUUACAGUUGUACAACUCUGUAGUGUGUCUUCAAUUAUAAUCCUGAACUCUUAAGUUUUUAUAGUAUAAAGAAAUGAAAUUUGAUUUUGGGAAGGGAUUGUGGGUUCUUCCUCUGCCUUUAUUAUUUUUUCUUUCUUAAUAGUAUUAUAAAUCAUGUUUCUUGUUUCUUUCAUAAUCUUUUCCUGUACAUAUUUUUUUUCUUCUGUCCAUUUUCUGCUCAGCCAUCCUUGUGUAACUGCAUAACGUUUUUAAUGAAGAUGGUGGGAUGGUAAGUGGCUGACAAAAAUGGAGGUAACUCUUUCCCUCCUGUUUCAGUGAACUCAUUGUUCCUUAGGAACCUUAUAUAAUUAACCAUGUUAUAUUUACAGACCAGCAGCUUUGCGGUUGGUUUCCUAACCCUGCCAUUUAGUUAGAACUUAGAUAUGAAAAUGCUUGGAAAGAUUUAUAAAAGUCUAACAAUGUGUUACUCAUUAGUUAAGAAUCCCAUAAACAUGGCAUAGUACUUGGAUGUAUGAAUUCAAGAAAAAUUUAUUUUAUAAUACUUAAGUGUCAUGAUGAUAGACUUGUUGGUAAGUAGUAGUUGGGAAUUCAGUAUUGUAGAAUUCACUGUUACGUCAUGAUUCUCCAGUCCACCCUUAUUAAAGAACGGAGUGAUUUUGAAGGAAAGCUGAUAGCUUGUUUUGAGUUCAAUCUCUACAAGUGCUUCAUAUUGUGCAGUGCUGCUACAAUGAGGAAUAAGAAUUUAAUAGCAACAGCCUUAAUAUAAUAAUGUUCAUUUAAGUAGCUGCCAUUUAUUUAAUGCCUGUCAGUGCCAGGCUCUCUUGUAAUUGUGAUUGUUAACAGGCUCCAAGUUUUCAUAACAGUUCUACAAGGGUUUUAUAAAGAAGAAACAAGAACUUAACAGAGGUUAAGCAAAGUUCUCCAACAUAAUUUCUCUGGGGAGAGUUGUAACUGGGAUCCAACUCUAGGUCAGACAUAUUCCUCACUAUAGCCCAUUUUAUCUUUUAGACAUAGUCAUCUUUUUAAAAAUUACUACCAAUAUAACAUUUUUUUUUUUUUAAGGUAGGAAAGAAAUGCCAGUGAAGAGUUGAGUGCAUCUUUAAUGGUACCUUUGUUUUGUUUUGUUUUUCUUUUUUUUUCCAAUUUAAAUUCAAUUAAUAUAUAAUGUAUUAUUGGUUUCUGAGGUAGAGGUCAGUGAUACAUCAGUCUUAAUUGUACCUUUGAAUUUGUAGGGUUGAAGGUGUGUUAAUUUAUCAAUGAAAUUGAAGAAACCUGUAAGUGGCCAUUUAUUUAGAGUCCUAUUUUUAAAAGUCAAGACAAAGUAGAGAUACCAUUUAGUAUUUAAUGUUUUCUACAAAAUAUAUAUUGAUAUAAUUGGUAAUCAUAUUUCAGCAACAUCUUUUCAAUUGAACUUUUACAUCUGUUGUGCUUUAAUGUUUAAAAAUUUAUUUUAAUUAGCUUUUGAAAUGUGUAGUAUUCAAUAAAUGGAUUGUUAAAUUAUGUAAGCUGUUUGUUUUGCUGAUUUUGAGGCAAUAUUUCCCAGAAUAGAUCAGCACUGUUGUGUAAGUGGUCUUUAUUUUUUCUUUCAAUGUUCACAUAUUCCUUAAGUGUGCUAUAGUAGUAGGUGUUAUGGAAAUUUGAUACAUCAGUUUUCUGAAUUUCUGAAGAAUUAAGCAUUUCUUUCUUUUAUAAUAGCAUCUUUUCUUCUGUGUUUAAUUUUCUAAAAUUAAAGAACAAUAAAAGAGCCAGUUACUUAAGUUCACUAUAUAAAUAAUAUAUUGAGUAAGAUUCUACAAGGAAAACCUUUAAGUACAGAAUGAAGAAUUAUUGUUGAGUAUUUGCUUUACUUUGUUUUAGUUAACCUAAAAAAUAGGACUGGAUCUUGUUUGGUUUUUCUUAAUCCCUAGAGUAGAUUGUGAUUCUUUUUUUUUUUUUUUUAACUGUUUCUAAAUGUGAAAUCAGAAUAGAAGAGAAAUAGCAUUAGUUUCAUCAGUAGUUUAAAAUAGUUUUCAGUUCAGGACCUAGAAAACAGCACAUUACCAAAUUGAGGUUGUUGGAAUAUAGUACAGUGUAACACUGGCAAAGAUGUGGUUAAAACAUUUUAAUUCAAAUAUAAGUAAAUUCAAGUAUGUACAGGAAAUGUGUUAGGAGGCUUGGCCUGGGCUAGAGAUUUUGAAUUAAUUUAAAAUUAAUGAGGGAAAAAGCCUAUUUUUUAAAAUAUUCUGGGAAAAGGGUGCCUGGGUGGCUCAGUUGUUGGGCGUCUGCCUUCGGCUCACGUCAUAAUGUCAGGGUCCUGGGAUUGAGCCCUACAUUGGGCUCCCUGCUCCUCGGGAGGCCUGCUUCUCCCUCUCUCACUCACCCUGCUUGUGUUUCUCUUUCGCUGUGUCUCUCUCUGUCAAAUAAAUAAAAUCUUAAAAAAAAAAAAAAAUUCUGGGGAAUGAUAGGGAAGAAAUUGUUAAGGCUAGAAGGAUAGUGGUCAAAAGUGGUAUUUCUCCCUCCCUAUAUCUUACCUUUGCUUUUCAAAAACCAGUAGAAGCCCAAGUUAUUCAAAAAGAUUAUCUUGUAUCCUAAGUGCCAUAAAACAGGGUCUUCCUGGUCACCCUUGGUCACUACUAGGCCUUUGGAUCUUUGUCCUUUAAAAAGAGUCAAUAAAAUGUUGAAUGGUAGACAUAGUCUUCUCCCUAAAACAGUCAACAACCCUUUGAUAUUAAGGACACAAUUGAUCUAAGGAGAGCAACUUUAUAAGGUAGUUUGUAAUUUAGGAGACAUGGAGAUGGAGUGUGAAUUACUUGUCAUAUCUAAUACCAUCAGAGCCUUUUAUUUCAGAUUUUGAACCAGUAGUCUUUAGAUUCAUGAUUUAGGAUCAAGAAAUUCAAUCCUAGAAUAUAGACAACUAAAGCAACCUUCAGGCUUUUGAUUAUCCAUUUCUUUUAGGGUCAUUUAAAGAUUAUUCUCUUGCUUUUUGCUUUAAAGUUUCGCAGAAUUCUCAAAAAAAUCUGAGAAAAAUACUUUGGGUAUUUAUCCUAAAGUGGUGAUUUUUCAGAGCCCUUCUUCCAAAGAACUGUGAUCAGUUCAGAGAGAGAUCAAGUGCUUGAUCUCUUUUCAUUUUGAACACAUUUAUCUUUAUUCAGCAGAAAGAAUACCUGGUACUGAUAGACAUCUUCAUAUAAUUAUU